UGUUUUGUAAUUAUAGGGCUUGAUUUACAGAGGUUGGUGUAUAGUGGUUUUCUAUAAGCAAUUUGAACAGUAAUGUAAAUCAAGCCCUAUAAUUACAAAACACAUUUACAUUACUGUUCAAAUUGCUUAUAGAAAACCACUAUACACCAACCUCUGUAAAUCAAGCCCUAUAAUUACAAAACAAUCAAAAUGAAUUUACGAGGGAAAUAACUUAUGAAAAGUUUCUUCCUUUUUGAAAAAAAAAAAAUAAAUGAAUACGGAAUUACUAAUUUCUUAUACAAGAAGUCCAUAGGGUUAUGAGCUUCAUUUAUCCUUUUCUGCAGUUCGAAGCAACUCUCUAGCCAUGGCAGAGAAUGACUUGGCUGUGUCUUGCAUCUCUGUGGCUCUUUGAUUGACACCCUGCAAUUUCCUCACGUUCUCAUGCAACUUGCUUUCAGCCAUUUUUGCAGCACUUGUCUCGCUAGAUGAAGAAAACCCAUAUUUCUUCUUGAUUUGAUCAACGGCACCAGCCUUCUCAUCCUGUUCCUCUUCCUUGAUGUUUUUUUCAUUCUUAACCUUCAUAUGUUUUAUUUUCCCUAGAAGUUUGCUUGCCAAUUUCUGCUUAUUAAGAGCUGCCAAGAUAUUCUGAUCCUUGGGUCUCUCUUCAUGUUCAUCAAGGUCAAUAUCAUCUAUGUCCAAGUCAUUCCGAUCUGUGUCUAUGACAAUGCUAUUGCUAUUUUCAGCAUUACAAGCAAAGUUAGCUGUUGAAAAGAUCAUUGAAAGUUCUUCAAUACUUUCU
rnacentral:misc_RNA from 1 species